GCCUCAGUAGCUCAGCUGGUAGAGCGCCUGUCUUGUAAACAGGAGGUCAAGGGUUCAAAUCCCUUCUGAGGCU
rnacentral:tRNA from 1 species